AUUGAACGCUGGCGGCAGGCCUAACACAUGCAAGUCGAGCGGAUGAGAGGAGCUUGCUCCUGGAUUCAGCGGCGGACGGGUGAGUAAUGCCUAGGAAUCUGCCUGGUAGUGGGGGACAACGUUUCGAAAGGAACGCUAAUACCGCAUACGUCCUACGGGAGAAAGCAGGGGACCUUCGGGCCUUGCGCUAUCAGAUGAGCCUAGGUCGGAUUAGCUAGUUGGUGAGGUAAUGGCUCACCAAGGCGACGAUCCGUAACUGGUCUGAGAGGAUGAUCAGUCACACUGGAACUGAGACACGGUCCAGACUCCUACGGGAGGCAGCAGUGGGGAAUAUUGGACAAUGGGCGAAAGCCUGAUCCAGCCAUGCCGCGUGUGUGAAGAAGGUCUUCGGAUUGUAAAGCACUUUAAGUUGGGAGGAAGGGCAGUAAAUUAAUACUUUGCUGUUUUGACGUUACCGACAGAAUAAGCACCGGCUAACUCUGUGCCAGCAGCCGCGGUAAUACAGAGGGUGCAAGCGUUUAUCGGAAUUUCUGGGCGUAAAGCGCGCGUAAGUGGUUCGUUAAGUUGGAUGUGAAAAUCCCUGGGGGUCUACCUGGGAACGGCAUUC
rnacentral:rRNA from 1 species